UCGCAUAAGCUCUGAAGAUAAGACUUCAGGGCUGUAGAAAUGUCCGACUCCAAGUCUUUUAAGCCUACAACCCUUGUUAAUGAUUCUAAACAUUCCAAGAGUUGUUCUCGAGCUAGAAAAAAGAAAUACAACGCAGCUUGAACGGGAGUUCGAUCAAGAUUUUGAGACGCUUCAAUGCCACGUUGUAGUAAACUUGCGCAUUGAAUUUCAUCCAAAUUUAACUGAGUAGAGAGAGUAAGAGACAACUGGAUGAACUGCUCAUUGACUUUGUUGAUUACACCGCCUAAUUCAACUUCACCGGAUUCCAAUUUUUUGCGAGAAUUAGCAUUAGCUGGAUCUAAAGCCAAAAAUUUUAGAAAAUCCUUUGAGUAGGAUUCAAGACAUUGUAUUAACAAACGAGAAGAAACAUUUGGAUUGCUGGGAUUACUUUCGAUACACUGCAAUAAGUAUAAAAGAGCGGAAAAGUGCUGAGAUUCCCAGACAUCCAUGGUACAGCUUCUCAAAACUAAUGGGAACCGACCUGCAGUUGUCUUAAAAUUAAAAGAGUGUGGAAGAAUCCAGGUUUUAUGAUGUUCUGGCCUAGUUGUCGAGUUUGGUCCUAAAAGGAGGUAUAUAGUAAAGUAGAGAAUAAUAACAGAAUGCUAUUUAGGCAGUAGCGAAAUUCUUCAUUCGAAGAUAUCAACUCUAGUACGACUAAAAAGUUAUAUUAUAAUUUGAAAAUAUCGUGUUUUAUUACCAAGAUUGAUGAAAAUAUUUUUGUUAAGUUGCUUGGGGAGCCGUUAAACCCAGCAUGCAAUGCCAUG